UAUGAUAAAAAUAACCUUUCUAAAUAUGUUUUUUGAACAUCAAAGCAUGUAAACCUAUUCUAGGAGACCCCAAGAGUACAUACAUGAUGC